AACACUGUUAACCUGCGGUACCUGCGGAGGGAUCAUUACAGAGUUCGUGCCCUCGCGGGUAGAUCUCCCACCCUUGUGUAUUCUCUACAUCUUGUUGCUUUGGCAGGCCGUUGGUUCGCCAACCACCGGCUCGCGGGCUGGUGCGUGCCUGCCAGAGGACCUCUCAAACUCGGUUUGUUAGUGUCGUCUGAGUACCAUAACAAUCGUUAAAACUUUCAACAAUGGAUCUCAGAUCGGAAG
rnacentral:misc_RNA from 1 species